AAUUCUCAACUUCAAAGAGUUUAUCUCUUUUUUGAAGCUUGGACUAUGGAGGCUUGCCGGCAAAAUAUAGUCAGCUCCUCUCAAAUGUAUUAGCAGAGCCUUUAUAAAGGACUAGCUCCAGUUUGAUAAUUCUAUCUAUGCUGUUGCUUGUUAACCUUUCUGCGUUCAGCUUCUAAUGGUCUUUUAGACUGUCUCUAUGAGGCAUACACCUUUAA
rnacentral:misc_RNA from 1 species